AACUGUAAACAAGGAACAAAGAAGUGUUUUAAAAGAUGUUAUGAGGAAAAUGAUUGUUUGGAAAAAGGAAAAUUGACCAUCAUCUACUUGAAGCCUCUGUGUUCCAUUAGUGUCAACAAAAUCUAAGCAAUCAGUUACUAUGCAUUUCACUAGAUUCUAUGGUAAACACGGAAUGGCAAGAAUUAGAAUCACACAGGAUAGAUAAGUAUGAAUAAAUUGAAAUCUGCAUCACUGGUGGAAAUACCACCAUCCAGGAGAUCACAAAUGCACAGAUUCUCAGAAGAAUUCACUGUUGAGAGAAGGAGGUCAAAGAAUCAGAGGAAGGAAGCAGCUAGGAAAGAUGACACAAUUUGAAGAAUGAGAGAGAAGGUACCUGGUCUUAGCUCUUCACCAAUAUGUAAGCUCAGGCAAGAAUUCUCCAGUGAGAGAAGAAACCCACAAAGGAUGAAGGAGAAAGAAGCUGAGGCAUGGUAGUAAAGUCUACAGAAUGAGACACAGUGGUCUUUUGGUCCAUGUAGCACCAAAACUGUUCCACUCAAAAAUCCUACUUAUGACAAGGUAUUUUCUUGAUUUAA